rnacentral:rRNA from 1 species
GACGAACGCUGGCGGCGUGCUUAACACAUGCAAGUCGAACGGUAAACCUCUUCGGAGGGGCUCAGUGGCGAACGGGUGAGUAACACGUGGGCAACCUGCCCCCGGCUCUGGGAUAACUCCAAGAAAUUGGGGCUAAUACCGGAUGUUCACCGCUUCCCGCAUGGGAGGUGGUGGACAGGGUUUCCGGCUGGGGAUGGGCGCGCGGCCUAUCAGCUAGUUGGUGGGGUAGUGGCCUACCAAGGCGACGACGGGCAGCCGGCACGGGAGGUUGACCGGCCACACUGGGCCUGCGGGACGGCCCAGACGGCUACGGGGGGCAGCGGGGGAGAGUAUUGCGCAAUGGGCGGAAGCCUGACGAGGCGACGCCGCGUGGGGGAUGACGGCUUUCGGGGUGUGAACCUCUUUCAGCAGGGACGAAGCGGGAGUGACGGUACCUGAAGAAGAAGCACCGGCCAACUACGUG